rnacentral:rRNA from 1 species
ACUUCGGUCAAAUGACUUUUGAACUUAGUGGCGGACGGGUGAGUAACGCGUGAGCAACCUGCCUUUCAGAGGGGGACAACAGUUGGAAACGACUGCUAAUACCGCAUGACACAUAGAGAUCGCAUGGUUUUUAUGUCAAAGAUUUAUCGCUUCAAGAUGGCCUCGCGUCUGAUUAGCUAGUUGGCGGGGUAACGGCCCACCAAGGCGACGAUCAGUAGCCGGACUGAGAGGUUGAACGGCCACAUUGGGACUGAGAUACGGCCCAGACUCC